UACGUAGGGUGCAAGCGUUGUCCGGAAUUAUUGGGCGUAAAGAGCUCGUAGGCGGUUUGUUGCGUCGGAUGUGAAAUCCCCAGGCUUAACCUGGGAACUGCAUCCGAUACUGGUCGGCUUGAAUCCGGGAGAGGGAUGCAGAAUUCCAGGUGUAGCGGUGAAAUGCGUAGAUAUCUGGAGGAAUACCGGUGGCGAAGGCGGCAUCCUGGACCGGCAUUGACGCUGAACAGCGAAAGCUAGGGGAGCAAACGGG
rnacentral:rRNA from 1 species